rnacentral:rRNA from 1 species
UACGAAGGGGGCGAGCGUUAUUCGGAAUCACUGGGCGUAAAGCGUGCGUAGGCUGUUUGGCAAGUUGGAAGUGAAAGCCCAGGGCUCAACCCUGGAAUUGCUUUCAAAACUGCCAGACUCGAAUCUCGGAGAGGAUAGCGGAAUUUCCAGUGUAGUAGUGAAAUACGUAGAUAUUGGAAGGAACACCAGUGGCGCAAGCGGCUAUCUGGACGAGUAUUGACGCUGAGGCACGAAAGCGUGGGGAGCAAACAGG